AAUACUAUACUUUCAGGGAUCAUUUUUAUAGUAUGUUACUAGAGACUUUUCUCUGAUUAGGUAGAUUACUGGAAACUGCGAGGAGGAGUUGAAUGUUCUCUCCUGAGCAUGAAGCUGGUUCUAAGUGUUGCAUUACUGCAACUGCCUUUUGCCAUUGAUGAUCCUUCUUAAUUCUCUUCAGAGAUUAAGAGGGAGAGAACACAGUCUGAGUGGUU
ensembl:snoRNA